rnacentral:rRNA from 1 species
AACGAACGCUGGCGGCAUGCCUAACACAUGCAAGUCGAACGAGACCUUCGGGUCUAGUGGCGAACGUGUUCGUAACGCGUGGUAACCUGCCCUUAGGUUCGGAAUAACCCACCGCAAGGGGUGCUAAUACCGGAUAAUGUCUUCGGACCAAAGAUUUAUCGGCGUUGGGUGGGGCCGCGAUGGUUUAGCUAGUUGGUAGGGUAAAAGCCUACCAAGGCGACGAUCCACAGCUGGUCUGAGAGGAUGACCAGCAACACUGGGACUGAGACACGGCCCAGACUGCUAGGGGAGGCAGCAGUGGGGAAUAUUGAGCGAUGGGCGGUGAACUGAUCCAGCAGUGACGCGGGAGUGAUGAAGGCCUUAGGGUCGUCGAGCUCUUUUGCCCGAGAUGCUAAUGACAGUACCGGGAGAAUAAGAGCCGGCUAACUACGUG